CAAAAGCUUUAAGUAAGGGAUGAAGUGAGGCUAUGUCCAAAGUGGGAAGGCAUUCCUCUAUUUGUCAUUGGUGCAGAGAACAGGGGACAGGAUUUGGCUUCAAAGAUAGAGACUCAAAUACUCCUCUUUUGAAGAUCAUUACUGCCAUCUGUCUCAAAAAAAAGAAUUAUAUAUGAGACAGAAGUGCUACCCACAUUGAAGGGAAGUCAAUAGAAGUGUCAGCCACUUCAUCAAGCUAAAACUGAGCAGUAAGUACCAAUGAGGAAACUAAAACACAAAGAAAUUACAUAACUUCUCCAGGAUCCCAUCAUUAGGAAGUGCACAGCAGAUCUUUGAACCCAGGCAGGCUGGCUCUAGAGACUAAAUUCUUACCAACCCCACCAUAAUGCCUCCCUACAGUACAUACAAGGGGGAUCAUUAAAGAACAUGAAUUGCUCCAAUGUACUCAAAAAGAAUGCUGUAAGAAUGCUAAUAUCUUCAUGCCUAUACUUGAAUACUCCUGAAGUAUAAAUGCCUAGAGAAGAAAUGGAUGGAUCAGAAGAGACAGAAGGCAUGAGAGGGAGAACAGAGAGAGAAGGAGAAAGGAUCCCAAGCAGACUCUACACUGACCACAAGCCAGGCUCGGGGCUCACUGUCACACUCCUGAAAUCACCACCUGAGCCAAAACCAGGAGUUCCACAUUCAGCUGACUCCACCACCCAGAUGCCCCAUCAUAUUUGGGCUUUUAAUAACCCAGAUUUUUUGUGUGAUAUAAGUUCAAAGUGAUGCGGAAGCAGGAUGCCUUCUUCAUGGUCAUUGUCCCUAUCCAAGGACUCCAAGGACCCCCACAGGAGGACAGACCUACAGAAUGGAAGAUGCCUGAUUUCCAGAAUGAUCUUAUGGAAGUCAGCCUAACCACAAACUCUUACACUUGACUAAGAGUAAGAUAUAAAUCAUUUGUUGUAAU